UAUACAUACUGCCCCAGUGUCAUGUUUUCUCAAUAUGGCAGAUGACCUAUAUGUUUGUCAUGUCAGAAAUGUGUUUACACUCUUAAAAAUAUUGAUGCUUCACGAUGCCAGAAUAACCAUUCAUAAAAACAGUAGUGAAUAUGGUUCUUUAGAUUUAAAGACAUUUUUUUCUUAUUUGAGGAGAUAAAACGGUUCUUAUACGGCAUGGCUGUGAAUAACCCUUUAAGCACCUUUAUUUUUUAAAGUGUAGAGAACAGAAAGACCCACACCUGGCUGGGGAGCAGGGGGAAGGCAAGCGGGAGAGGAGGGCGGCUUUAAAGCUUUUACCACUGUGCAAACAGUAGACUGAUUGCUUUUAAUGGGAUCAACUAGAGGCCUGUGUGAGAGCCGGUACUGCCAUAAGCAACACUGAGAUGUCGGGUGUGGGGGCCAAGGACGACUGCUGAUAAGACUAGACAUAACCAGGGUGAGAGGGGGAAGAGAGAACAACCACAAAACAGAAUGAGGAUUGGAGGAGGUGUUUUAGAGAUUUCAGCAACCUGCCGUUACUAGGAGACAAGACCAGUUUCAUCAGUAGCUAUAUAAUGUUUGAUUCCUCAUCAUCAUGCUGUUGGGAACUUUAACACUUUAGAGAAGUUGAACGCCAGGAGCGAAAUGAAAGUGUUUUAUAGUGAUGGGGGCGCGAACGCCUAUGCCGAGUCCGAGUCAAGACAGAGUCUUUGAAGGGUCAAGACCGAGUUGAGACUGAGUCCAUUGGUUUUCAAAUACAGUCGAGUCCGAGUUAAGACCGAGUCUUUGAGGAGUCGAGACCGAUUCAUUUCAGUUUUCAUAUUCAUGAUUUAAUAUAACCCAAGUUAAUAAUCAACAGUUAGGCCUACAGACUAAGCUAGAUUGGGAAUUGUUUAGAGGAGCAGUCUUAAUGUCUUAAUAUGGGCUAUGCUUUUACUAUCAUUAAAAAAAUCCCUACUACAUGAAUCAUC